UUUUUUACACAGUAUCGAAGAAACUUCUGAUGCCUGGCUGUGACAGGAACAUAGAAGUAGGCGUCUCUCAGAUCUAUUGAGAUUAACCAGUCUCUGUGGUGUACCAUGGGAAUGAUGGAACGGAUGGAUUCCAUGCGAAACCUUCUUACCCUUAAGAAGAAAUUGAGCUGGUGUAGGUCUAGAAUAGGUCUCCACUUUCCUCC